AGCAAUAGUUGUCUUUCUACUUUGGGGGCCACACCCAGCUGUGAUCAGAGCUAAUUCCUGACCCUGUGUUCAAGGAUGACUACUGGCAGGUCUCAGUGGUGUUAGAUGUUGAACUGGUUCAGCCAAGUGCAAGGUCAGGAUUCCUCCUGCUUGAGAAGCCACACGUUUCUUCACUCUCCAUAACUCACCAUGAACAUACAAAGAAAUUCUAACGGCAGCCACCUAAACACAAAAUAACACACAAGAAAAGAACUUCAGACUGCAAGAGAACCCACCAGACUUACUGAGUGAAGGAAUGAAGGCGCUAGCCCUUCAGAAGACUCUGCCAGUAAUAAUGAGCUACAUAAAGUCUAUGAUACGGAAUUUAGAGAGGAAUUGUUGAGGGGGUAUAAGGAGCUCAAAGAAAAUGAAAUAGACUGCCAGUAAAACACAAGGUGAUGUGCGAUCAGAAGUGAGCAAACUACAAACAGAAAUGACAGAUCUGAAAAACUUGGUUGGUGAAAUGAGAAAUCCCGGAAAGGCAUCGGCAGCAGAGGAACAAUUGCUAAAGAAAGAUCAGUGUGCUGCAAGAGGAGAUACAACACCAGAAGAUGGAAAAAGGCCUCAAAAUAAACCAACAGCUGACAAGAGAACUUUGGGAUAAAUACAAGAAGAACAACAUAACAGUCAUUGGGGUUCCAGUGGAACACUAUGUAGCUGUUAGGAAAAAUGAAAUCAUGAAAUUUGAUUGAAAGUGGAUACACAUGGAGAGUAUCAUGCUGAGCAAAGUGAAUCAGACGAAGAGGGACAAACAGGAUGUUUGUCCAUAGCGUUCUUUCUGUACACAUGCUUGCCUCUUAGCAUCAACAACUUUAUUGAAGAGGGAAGAAGCUUCAGACUCAGCUCGGACACCAGGGCCAUGCUGUGACCUGUCAGGGCCUGGCUUCUUCCUCCCUGCACUGGACUGGGCGGUGAUCUGAGGUUGCCGUGGCUCUGGCUGCUGAAACUCACCCAUGAACACGGGCAAAGCCAUGGGUAAUUUCCAACCAACGCUGGUUGUUAUGUAUUUUUACAUGCAAGUAAACUGCCAACUGAUACAGUUAUUUGUAUCUCAACAUAAUUGAACAUCAAAAUUCAUGAUGCUGAAUGGGGAUAAAAGGAGGCAUAAAUUUUUAUAUAUUAUAUAACACCUGGAAAUACUUUGAGUGAAAAAGUAACAGGAGGGGGCUGAGGAGAGAGUUUAUACGGGUUAGGGCUUAUCUGUGCACGUGGGAGGCCCAGGUUUAAUACCUGGGACCACACAGUCCCAAGCUCCACAGAGGGCAACAUACGCAUACACAAGGAGUGGGCCCCAAGAUCUUCAGAAUCGAAAAGAAAAGGAGGAUUCAUUUCAGGCCAUGCAAUUAAUGUCUAAACACUAAAAAUUAGUACUAGAAAGCUAAGUUCAAAUCUCUGUAAUUUUGACUCUUGGUAUAUAAUCUGUCAGUGCGCAAGUGAGCAGAACGGACAUGGUAUUUCAUUUGUUCGUUCAUCAGGAAGAACCAUCAUGGACCACUGAUUCUCAACAGCCAACGGCCUGACACAUCCCCUCCCCAGGUAACCUGCCGUCACCGUCACAGGCUCUCUAUAGUGUUCGGGUUCUGUCCCUUCCCGUUGAUGUGUCUGUGGUGCCAGGGUUCGCACACAUGAUGCAGCUUCCCUGGAGUCACACCUAUUGGUCGUGCUCUCACACUCCGGGUGUGUGGUGUGAGGACUCCCAACAACCGUGCGAGGGAUCAAACCGGGACUAAGAGGCUCCAUUCUAGCAAGUCAGGCAGUUCAGCGCUCAUGCCUUCUAGGCCCAGAGGGAACGUGUUUAAGGCACAGCUCUGUGCGUGAUGAGCAUGUGUGAGGCUGUGGGUCUGCUCCCUGAGCAACACAGGGUGCGACCCUAGAUGCCACCAUCUGCUGCCACAAUACAAGGAGCUCUGUGCUACAGAGGCUUUGACCAGGAGGCAGGAAGGAAUUAGGGUGCAUGCCCAGCAGGUCUGUGCCCAUACCCAUCAUAGGUUCUAUUCCCAGCACCUCGGAGUUCCCUGAGCACAGACCAAGUACUCUAAAGACCCUUGAGUCCUGCCAGGAAGUCUAUGUAUCCCUGGCACCACAGGGCCCAAGUGGCAUUGCAUCCUCAGGCCACACAGAGCAAUGUGUAGGUCCCAGUUGGCUGAGAGUCACUGGCGGGGAGAGGGGCGGGCAGGGGGCAGCAGGCUCGCGGUGCUCAGGGCGUAUUCCUUCUACACGCAGUCAUCUCUCCUUCCAGAGCUCACACCAGAGCUGGCCGCAUGCAAGGCAAGUGCCUUAUCCGCAGUACUAUCUCCAGCCUCUAAUCAGAGUUGUCUUCAAUACUGGACGGGAGACUGUGGAAAGGGAACUCACUGGAAGCCACAUAUUCUGUUAUCUCCAUGUCAUUCUUCAUAUUCUUUGAUUUUGAAAUUUAUUAUUUCUUGUUUGCUGACAAAGUUAAUUAUGUAAAAAUCUUUACAAAUUUAAAAAAGCUAGUUUAAUUUUAGAUUUACCAAAAAUGAUAAAUUAAUCAGCUUAAUUAUGGGGUAUUUACCAAGACAAAGCUUAUGUAUCAAUGAGACAUUUUAAAAGUCUGAAUAAUGUGCCAGAGAGAAACUGAAGUAUUAAGCACAUCGGGACUCUGGAGUUCUAUCCCCAGGACCACUGCCCUGAGCAGGAGUGAUUCCUGAUAAUUCAGUCAAAAAAAAAAAUGUCUGAGUAGACUAUAGACCGAACAUGAAGGCCACUCAAUACCUCUACUGCAAACUACAACACCCAAAAGGAGAGAGAACAAAAGGGAAUGCC